rnacentral:rRNA from 1 species
UAGCAGUUAGGGAAUCUUCGGCAAUGGGGGCAACCCUGACCGAGCAACGCCGCGUGAGUGAAGAAGGUUUUCGGAUCGUAAAGCUCUGUUGUAAGAGAAGAACGUNNNUGAGAGUGGAAAGUUCAUNNAGUGACGGUAACUNACCAGAAAGGGACGGCUAACUUACGUGCCAGCAGCCGCGGUAAUACGUAGGUCCCGAGCGUUGUCCGGAUUUAUUGGGCGUAAAGCGAGCGCAGGCGGUUNANUAAGUCUGAAGUUAAAGGCAGUGGCUNAACCAUUGUUCGCUUUGGAAACUGCUUAAACUUGAGUGCAGAAGGGGAGAGUGGAAUUCCAUGUGUAGCGGUG